rnacentral:rRNA from 1 species
AUUGAACGCUGGCGGUAGGCCUAACACAUGCAAGUCGAACGGCAGCACAGUAAGAGCUUGCUCUUACGGGUAGCGAGUGGCGGACGGGUGAGGAAUACAUCGGAAUCUACUUUUUCGUGGGGGAUAACGUAGGGAAACUUACGCUAAUACCGCAUACGACCUACGGGUGAAAGCAGGGGAUCUUCGGACCUUGCGCGAUUGAAUGAGCCGAUGUCGGAUUAGCUAGUUGGCGGGGUAAAGGCCCACCAAGGCGACGAUCCGUAGCUGGUCUGAGAGGAUGAUCAGCCACACUGGAACUGAGACACGGUCCAGACUCCUACGGGAGGCAGCAGUGGGGAAUAUUGGACAAUGGGCGCAAGCCUGAUCCAGCCAUACCGCGUGGGUGAAGAAGGCCUUCGGGUUGUAAAGCCCUUUUGUUGGGAAAGAAAAGCAGCAGGUUAAUACCCCGCUGUUCUGACGGUACCCAAAGAAUAAGCACCGGCUAACUUCGUG